CCGUGUGUGCGAGGCGUCACGAUUCGCGGCAUCGCGGCGUUGCGUUGCGUGUGUUUGGUUAUAAAUCCCGCCAUCUCCGCGCGCCCUGUGGUCGCACGAGCUUUUACGGUCGAUGCUCGUCGCUCUCCGUCGGCGAUUGAAUUCGCGAAAUAAAAGUCGUAUCGGUGCGCACUUCACAAGUGACCGGAAGGGAAGAUGUGAUAACGCCGAGGCUGCUACGCAUCUUCUUGAAUGUUUUGUUCCUCCCUCGCCAGUUAACGACGCAGGCGUUGAUUAUAAUUUCGCGUUAUAACGAGAAGGUUCCCGUAGCCGCGUGCGUGAGUAAAAAUCCGCAAGCCAAGCCAUGGCGAACGUGUCCCUCGACAAGGAUAUGUUUUUCCGGCGCAUAAAGCGCCUAUACGCUGCGUGGAAGGACGGGGAGGUUGCCAAUGAUGACAGUUUCAGUAAGAUGGAUUGUCUCGUUUCCGCCGUCGGCACUGAUGAGGACAUCGUUUACAGCAAGUCCAUAGCGUUGCAGACAUGGCUACUCAGCUAUGAACUCACGGAUACUAUAAUGAUACUGGCAGAGGAAUCCAUCAAUUUCUUGGCCAGUAAGAAGAAAAUUGAAUUUCUAAGAAAGGUAGAAAACCAGAGCACCGAAGAUACAGGAGUACCGCCUGUGAAAUUAUUUGUGAGAGACAGGAGCGAUGAAGACAAGGCAAAUUUUGGAAAGCUCAUUGAAGUGAUGAAGGAAAGUAAAAAAGGCAAAACUUUGGGAGUGUUCUCUAAAGAAAACUAUCCUGGUGCCUUUAUGGACGCCUGGAGAGCUACCUUAAAGAACGAAUCUUUUGAUACGGUUGACGUGAGUGCCGCAGCUGCGUAUGUCAUGUGUCCAAAGGAAGAUAGUGAGAUAAUUACUAUAAAGAAGGCUUGUCUGAUAUCGGUGGACGUUUUCACCAAGUACCUUAAAGAUCAGAUAAUGGAAAUCAUAGAUUCGGACAAGAAAGUUAAACAUUCAAAGCUGGCGGAAGGUGUGGAUACAGCUAUCACAAAUAAGAAGUACGUAACUGGGGUAGACAUUACGCAGGUAGAUAUGUGUUACCCUGCAAUUAUACAAAGCGGUGGAAAUUAUUCGCUUAAAUUUAGCGCAGUUAGUGACAAAAAUACUACUCUCCAUUUUGGUGUUAUUGUUUGUUCAUUGGGAGCACGUUACAAAUCUUAUUGUUCGAACAUAGUGAGAACUCUGUUGGUUAACCCUACAAAAACAAUUGAGGAAAAUUAUAAUUUUUUGUUACAACUGGAGGAAGAGAUUUUGAAAAAGUUAGUUGCAGGAACGAAAAUAAGUGAAGUAUACGAAGCCGGUAUUAAAUUCGUGAAAGAUGAGAAACCAGAAAUGUUGAACCAUUUAACCAAGAAUUUUGGAUUUGCUAUGGGCAUUGAAUUCAAAGAAAGUUCUUUACUGUUAGGCCCGAAAAUUCAUGCAGUAGCGAAGAAGGGCAUGGUAUUUAAUGUUAAUGUUGGUCUUGCAAACCUUACCAAUUCAGACGCAAUGGACAAGGAGGGAAAAAUGUACGCCCUAUUCAUAGGCGAUACAGUUAUAGUGAACGAAGGACAACCGGCUACUAAUUUAACACCAUCGAAGAAGAAGGUGAAGAACAUAGGUAUAUACGUGAAGGACGAGGAUGAUGAAGAAGAGGAGGGCAGUGGAAAGGAAAAUGAGCCAAAGCCAGAGAUUCUGGGACGUGGAAAGAGAACUGCUGUGAUAGAAUCUAAAUUGAGGACCGAGCAUAGUUCGGAAGAGAAGAGAAAGCAACAUCAGAAAGAAUUGGCUCAACAGCUAAACGAAAUUGCUAAGGCUCGAUUGGCCCAGCAGUCUGGUGGUAAGGAGCAGGAGAAGAUACGUAAAUCGACGGUAUCUUACAAAAGCUUGAAUCACAUGCCGCGCGAGGCGGAAGUGAAAGAGUUGAAGUUGUAUGUGGACAAGAAGUACGAAACUGUCAUUUUACCUAUCGCUGGUAUUCCAGUACCUUUCCACAUAUCGACGAUUAAGAACAUUUCACAGUCGGUGGAAGGAGAUUAUACGUAUCUCAGAAUAAACUUCUUUCACCCUGGCGCGACCAUGGGACGAAAUGAAGGUGGAUCUUACCCACAGCCUGAUGCAACGUUCGUUAAGGAAGUAACAUAUCGAAGCACAAAUACCAAAGAGCCCGGCGAGAUCUCCGCACCGUCGUCGAACUUGAACACGGCCUUCAGACUGAUCAAGGAGGUCCAGAAGAAGUUCAAAAAUCGGGAAGCGGAAGAAAGAGAAAAGGAGGAUCUUGUAAAACAAGAUACCUUAAUAUUGUCGCAGAACAAAGGCAAUCCAAAGUUGAAAGAUUUAUAUAUUCGACCGAAUAUUGUCACAAAAAGAAUGACCGGUGGUUUAGAAGCGCACACUAAUGGAUUCCGCUACACUUCGGUCCGCGGCGAUAAAGUGGACAUUCUUUAUAAUAACAUUAAGAAUGCUUUCUUCCAGCCGUGCGACGGUGAAAUGAUUAUACUGCUUCAUUUCCAUUUAAAACAUGCUAUUAUGUUUGGUAAAAAGAAACAUGUUGACGUGCAGUUUUAUACUGAAGUUGGAGAAAUUACUACGGAUUUAGGUAAACAUCAACAUAUGCAUGAUCGUGACGAUCUCGCAGCUGAACAGUCGGAACGCGAACUGAGACAUAAAUUAAAAACCGCUUUUAAAAGCUUUUGUGAAAAGGUUGAAGGAAUGACAAAGCAAGAGAUAGAAUUUGAUACACCAUUUCGAGACUUGGGAUUCCCUGGUGCACCAUAUAGAAGUACUGUUUUGCUUCAACCAACAAGUGGAUGUUUGGUUAAUCUCACAGAAUGGCCUCCGUUUGUCAUCACCUUGGAAGAUGUUGAAUUGGUUCAUUUUGAAAGAGUACAAUUUCAUCUAAAGAACUUUGACAUGAUUUUUGUUUUCAAAGAUUAUCAUCGAAAGGUGGCGAUGGUAAAUGCCAUUCCUAUGAAUAUGCUAGAUCAUGUCAAGGAAUGGUUGAAUUCGUGCGACAUUCGAUAUUCGGAAGGUGUCCAGUCUUUGAAUUGGACAAAGAUUAUGAAAACUAUAACAGAUGAUCCUGAAGGAUUCUUUGAUAGCGGAGGAUGGACGUUCUUGGAUCCAGAAAGUGAUGCUGAAAAUGAAGAAGUUGAAGACGAAGAGGAGGAAGAGGAUGAUGCAUAUGAGCCAUCCGAUAUGGAAAGUGAGGAAGAAUCUGAUGAUGAUUCUGAAUAUUCUGAAGCCUCUGAAGAUAGUGACAGUGAAGAGGAAGAAUUAGGCAGCUCUGAGGAAUCGGGAAAAGAUUGGUCAGAUUUGGAAAGAGAAGCGGCCGAGGAGGACAAAGAAAGGGGAGACGAUCGUUAUCGUGACGAUUAUAGUUCCAGUAAGAAGAAGAAAGGAAGCCGAAGACAAUCUCCUCCUUCAAAGGAUAGACAUAAUUCUAAGCACAAGGGUUCCACGAACUCAAAGAGUAAAAGUUCAUCCAACAGUAAAGAUAAACGAUCAUCUGACAAACACAGAACGGAUCGAUCACGGAGUGGGGGCUCACACAAGAAGGGGUCUCCUUCCAAAUCAUCCAAACACAGUCCCAAAAAGAGUGAUAAACACGAUAAGCAUGACAAGAGUAAGUCGUCGCAUUCUUCGUCCAGCAGUAAGAAACGUCCUCGUGAGCAGAGCUCGGAAAGAAGCGACAGAUCUAAGAGAUCUAAGAAGUAAAUACGGAGGACAUCUGCACAUUGAGAAAAGAGCACAUGGAAGCAAAUGCUGAUUCCAAGUAGAAAUACUUGCCUCAUCGUGUCCAUAUGUAUACGCUGAGAAAUGAAAGGAUCAUUGAUUCGAAAGGUGAAGAAAGCCGAAAUAAGUCGGAAAUUGUCGAAAACUCAUUUACAUAGUUCUCAGAUUUGUACCUUAAUAAAUAACAUAAUAAAACCGUUCUUAAGUUAUUUAACAUUAAUGUACAAAUGUCAUUUGUGGUUUUUAUAUUCCAAAAUGUAUGUAAUGUUGAUACAUAAAAAUGCUUGUUUUUAUUAAAA